rnacentral:rRNA from 1 species
AUUGAACGCUGGCGGCAUGCCUUACACAUGCAAGUCGAACGGUAACGGGUCCUUCGGGAUGCCGACGAGUGGCGAACGGGUGAGUAAUAUAUCGGAACGUGCCCAGUAGUGGGGGAUAACUGCUCGAAAGAGCAGCUAAUACCGCAUACGACCUGAGGGUGAAAGGGGGGGAUCGCAAGACCUCUCGCUAUUGGAGCGGCCGAUAUCAGAUUAGCUAGUUGGUGGGGUAAAGGCCUACCAAGGCAACGAUCUGUAGUUGGUCUGAGAGGACGGCCAGCCACACUGGAACUGAGACACGGUCCAGACUCCUACGGGGGGCAGCAGUGGGGAAUUUUGGACAAUGGGGGCAACCCUGAUCCAGCAAUGCCGCGUGAGUGAAGAAGGCCUUCGGGUUGUAAAGCUCUUUUGUCAGGGAAGAAAAGGCUAUGGCUAAUAUCCACGGCUCAUGACGGUACCUGAAGAAUAAGCACCGGCUAACUACGUGCCAGCCGCCGCGGUAA